rnacentral:rRNA from 1 species
GACGAACGCUGGCGGCGUGCUUAACACAUGCAAGUCGAACGGAAAGGCCCUGCUUUUGUGGGGUGCUCGAGUGGCGAACGGGUGAGUAACACGUGAGUAACCUGCCCUUGACUUUGGGAUAACUUCAGGAAACUGGGGCUAAUACCGGAUAGGAGCUCCUGCUGCAUGGUGGGGGUUGGAAAGUUUCGGCGGUUGGGGAUGGACUCGCGGCUUAUCAGCUUGUUGGUGGGGUAGUGGCUUACCAAGGCUUUGACGGGUAGCCGGCCUGAGAGGGUGACCGGCCACAUUGGGACUGAGAUACGGCCCAGACUCCUACGGGAGGCAGCAGUGGGGAAUAUUGCACAAUGGGCGGAAGCCUGAUGCAGCAACGCCGCGUGCGUGAUGACGGCCUUCGGGGUGUAAACCGCUUUCGCCUGUGACGAAGCGGGAGUGACGGUAAUGGGUAAAGAAGCACCGGCUAACUACGUG